rnacentral:lncRNA from 1 species
GAACUCCCACCUCCGUAUACAGCCAUCGCCAGUCCAGGAACAAGCGGUAUUCCCGUCAUCAACUGUCGCGUGUGCCAAUCGCUCAUCAACCUGGAUGGUAAACUUCACCAGCAUGUGGUUAAGUGCACAGUUUGUAAUGAAGCUACGCCAAUCAAAACCCCCCCGACAGGGAAGAAAUAUGUUAGAUGCCCUUGUAAUUGUCUCCUCAUUUGUAAGGACACAUCUCGGCGAAUAGGAUGUCCUAGACCCAACUGUCGACGCAUAAUCAACCUUGGCCCCAUAAUGCUCAUUUCUGAAGAGCAACCGGCUCAACCUGCGCUGCCAGUCCAGCCGGAAGGUACAAGGGUAGUGUGCGGGCACUGCGGGAACACGUUCCUGUGGAUGGAACUGAGGUUCAACACUCUGGCAAAAUGCCCACACUGCAAAAAAAUCUCCUCGGUGGGUAGCGCCCUUCCCCGGAGACGCUGCUGUGCAUACGUCACCAUCGGAAUGAUAUGUAUUUUCAUUGGAGUUGGGUUAACUGUGAGUACCACCUGCUGUGUUGCUUUGUUUUGAUCCAGGGGCUCAAGUAGCAGAGUUGACCUUUGAGUUCAUGAUCCUUUGAGAUCAUGAUUCUACCUCCCCAAUACUGGGAUUACAGGUGUACUCUCCUAUGCCAGGAGACUGAAUACUACUAUUACAAUUCUUUCUGCAAGUUUAUCAACUUUGGUCUGUAGUGGCUUGGGACAGCCAUCGGAGAUUUCCCCAAGUUAGUGGUCAUUCAGCAUGACAGACUCCAGAGCU